AACCAGCUCUUCAAGUGGUCGGGAUGAUUAUUGGGCUUAAAGUGUCCGUAGCCGGUUUAGUAAGUUCCUGGUAAAAUCAGGUAGCUUAACUAUCUGUAUGCUAGGAAUACUACUAUACUAGAGGGCGGGAGAGGUCUGAGGUACUAUAGGGGUAGGGGUGAAAUCUUAUAAUCCUUGUAGGACCACCAGCGGCGAAGGCGUCAGACUGGAACGUGCCUGACGGUGAGGGACGAAAGCCGAGGGGAGCGAACCGGAUUAGACUACCCGGGUAGUCCUGGCCGUAAACGAUGCAUACUAGGUGAUGGCCCGCCAUGAGCCGUGUCAGUGACCGUAGGAAACCGUUAAGUGUGCCGCCUGGGAAGUACGGUCGCAAGGCUAAAAACGUUAAAGGAAUUGGGCGGGGGAGCACCACGAAGGGGUGAAGCCUGUGGUUAC
rnacentral:rRNA from 1 species